GUUUCCGGCCGCGGGGGCGGGGCGAGGCUGGGCCCGGCCUGGGCGGAGCUCUAGGGCGCACGCUCGGGAGCAAGGCCUGCUGGGAGUUGUGGUUUCUCCCCUGGGGUCUGUGAGGAGAUCCACGUGCUGCCUAGUGAGCCUCCAGCCUAACGCCGAGCCUGUCCAGGUUUUGGUCCGCUGGCUUAGGGCAAGGUUCUGUUUUUGUUUCGUCCUUUCAUUUCAUAGCCUCCAAAAACGUUAAUUGGGCUAAGGUCGGAGCCCAGAGGAGAGACGUGGAGUUUGUGCGUGGCCUGCACGAGGACUGGAGUGGAUCCCCAGCCCCGUGGGGGCGACGGGAGAAGGGACAAAAGGAAGAGAGAAAGAAAGAAACCCAACGGGGUUCGUAGUAGGUGAUGUUUGUGAUUCAACACGAACCUAACUUGCUUGGUAACUCGUGUUCGUUUUAUUCCACGACCCAGAACCACCUUGUGAGACAGCUGGAUCUGAAUUCGUUUCCCUGUUUCACUCAUGAGGAAACUGAAGCUCAGAGUGUCCAAGGAAACCGGAUGUUGAGUAACCGGAAGCAAGGCCUAGCUGUGUUUGCACAACUGUCCGAACAGUGUAAGAGCUGCACCAACUAAACCAAAAACGUGGAAGGAAACAGCUCUAACUGGGUGUUAGAGCGGUCCAGUAAUGACUUCAAUUGUGCAAUGGUUUUGAAGUUACCUUUAUUUUAAAUUCAUUGUGUUUUCCCCAGCAGAACAAUAGAAUUCUUUACAAAUGGUGGCAAUUGGUGGCUUUGGCUGCCUACCAAAAGACAAACUUACAGAUGUUGUGCAAAGUGCCUGGUGAAGAGAAGUAAAAGGAGUGAGAGUAAAAAAUGGUGAAAAUAAGCUUAUUUAAGCCAUUAUUACUCCAGUCUGACAAUUGAUUUCAUCCUACUGAUAAGGUAAGUCUGUUUACUGUUUCAUAGGUGUUGUGGAAGACACAAGAUUUCUGGGUCAGAGACACAAGACCGUCUAUUACUCAAGACCCAAGAAGCAAGGAGCUUCAGCAUGUUUGUGUCAGUUCCUUUUGCCCUUCCCACCUCCUGAGUAACACAUGCUUGAAACAAAGGGCCCAAAUGAAUACUGUGCCCUUAGUGGAUUCACAACACAGCUAAGAAACACUGAACUUGAGGAAGCUGCCAUUCUAUAGGAAGCAGUAAGCCAACCUGUUCUUUGACCUAGAGGGAAAUAUUACUUUAUCCCUCAUGGUUGCUCAUACAAAUACAUCCCCGCAACCCUGAAAUAUAACCCCAGUGAAGAACAGUCAGGACCUUGCAUUUUUGGCAUACCUAGGAAGAUGAAGCAUGAAGAUUACAGUACUGGGCUGGGGUUGUGGCUCAGUGGUAGAGCACUUGACACGCUCGUGUGAGACACUGGGUUCAAUCCUCAGCACCACAUAAAAAUAAAUAAAAUACAGGUGUUGUGUCCAUCUACAGCUAAAAAUAUUUUUUAAAAAACAGUGGCUUAGGGAUGCAGAGAUAAGUAAGAUGAUAUCUACAAACUCCAUGAAAGGCACUAGUACGUGGUCAAACUAACAAAACACAUAUGCCUUGAUCUGGCAGUUCCACUUCCAGGAGUUCAUGCUAGUAUUACACUUUUACAGGUGUAAAAUGACUUUGUGUGUGUGUGUGUGUGUGUGUGUGAAGGGAAGUUGUUGCAGUACUGUUAGUUUCCAAUGGUUUGUGAAUUCAAUCUAACAGUUACUGGUUAAAUGAUACAUCCACAAUGGAAAACUGAAUCAUUGUAAAUAAAGAGUAAGGAAACUGUUUAUGCACUGACGUGGAAAGAUCUCAUGGAGACUGUAUAUGGUUAAGGUAGAACAAGGUGCAGCUCAGACUAGAGCACAUAAUACCAUCCUGUGUGAAAGAGGAAGCAUAUAUAUAUAUAUAUAUAUAUAUAUAUAUAUAUAUAUAUUUAGAAAUAUCACAAGAAACUGAUAACAUUAUGCUGCUGGGGAGGGAGACUAGACAGCUAGGGUGAAGACAAGGGUAGAAAGGAGACUUUUCACUUUAUUCCUGUUUUGGUUUGGAUCUGGAAUGUACCCCCAAAACUCAUGUAUUGAAGUCUUGAUUCCACUGCAUCAGUAUUUAGAGGUAGGGCUUUUAGGAAAUCACUGCUCACAUCCUGCGCUAGUGAUGGGAUCAGGGUCACUCCGCAAUGAAAAGACCACACAAACACAGAAGUACAUUUUGCAGGAGUCAGGGAUGGCUCUUCGACCUCGAGGGUCAAG
rnacentral:lncRNA from 1 species